rnacentral:misc_RNA from 1 species
GAUGAAGAACGUAGCGAAAUGCGAUAAGUAAUGUGAAUUGCAGAAUUCAGUGAAUCAUCGAAUCUUUGAACGCACAUUGCGCCCGGUAGUAAUCUGCCGGGCAUGCCUGUCCGAGCGUCAUUUCAACCCUCGAACCACUAUUCGCGUAGCUGGAUCGGUGUUGGGGCACUACGGUGGAAUACCCGUAGGCCCCGAAAUGAAGUGGCGGUCCCGCCGCGGCGCCCCCAUGCGUAGUAACAUCUCGUCUCGCAUCGGGUCCCGGCGGAGGCCUGCCGUCAAGCCUAUUUUCUAAUUACAGAUGGUUUGACCUCGCAUCAGGUAGGGUUACCCGCUGAACUUAAGCAUAUCAAUAAGCGGAGGA